AUCUAAAUAGUUUAAAGGGUUAAAACGUUGGUUUGUGGUGCCGAUGAUAUAUUUGUAUAUUUUAGAUU
rnacentral:tRNA from 1 species